AUGCGUUUAACUGAUUUCAACACCUUGAAACUCUUCCUCUCUUAUCUUACUGCGAUUUCCAGCGAGAAUCUUCGUCGCCACCACUGCCUUGAACCUCCUCCCAAUCACCGCAGGUUGAAUAAAAACCCUACAUUAUUUUGUUCACUGAUAAUGACUCUUACAUCAAUUUCCCACAGAAGCUUCUCGUAUUGCCAAAUCGGUACAUUGGGAACCAAAAACCUAAGUUUAAGGGAAAUAAAAUUCUACAAGAAUCGAGAGGAAUCUGCAUGCAUCCUUCAAUUGACUCUAAACCGUGCAAGAAGAUGCUAA